rnacentral:rRNA from 1 species
UACGUAGGGACCGAGCGUUGUCCGGAUUCAUUGGGCGUAAGAGCUACGUAGGCGGCCACUCGAAGUCGAAUGUGAAACCUCGAGGCUUAAACCUCCGGAGCCUGGCACUUUCGAUACUGGGCGGCUAGAGCCUGGUAGGGGGAUCUGGAAUUCCUGGUGUAGGCGGUGGAAUGCGCAGAUAUCAAGGAGGAACGACCGGUGGCGAAGGCGGGAUCCUGGGCCAGUACUGACGCUGAGGACG